CACUUGUCGAGAGAAGAGGUCAGAGAAUUCCUUUAUGUCAUCUAUAUCAGCCUCUUCCAGUUUGUCCCACAGGAGCCCACUUCCAGCAGCAGGCACACCUGGAGCUGGAGCUGGAGCUGGAGCUGGACUGGAUAAGAAUGUCAAGCACCUUUACUGAAAAGCGAGCAUGCAGCGAGGUGAGGCUCACCUCAGUAGAAGCAGAAGCGGCCGAGUCCUCUUACCUGUGCUACGUCCGGGUGCCACUACCGAGGUCAGGUUAGGGGACGAAAAUGUGAGAAACCAGGUGUCAGAAUUAACAAGUUGCAAGAAAAUAAAAAAAAAACUAACUUAAAUACUUGAAAGUAAAAAAAAUAUAUACAUUCAAAAUAAAAAUUAGAAAAAACUACACUA